UUCUAAGGCUUAAAUUAAAAUAACUCAUAAAAAAUAUCUGACACAUUUCCAACUAAGUAAUGUGUAAACCCCUAAAAACUAUUAUGAUGUAUACUUUUCACUAUUUAAUCCCAGGUUCAAAAUGGUGUUUUAUGCCUUUUAAAUAUUCUUUGGUGUCAAAAAUCAAGAGCCAAUUAAAUGAGCACAGCUAUAUCAAGCCAGAAGAUUCAAGAACUAGAUACCUAUUCCUGAUGGUCCCAGGAGAGUUGACAUUUCACACUGAGAUGGAUCAAAUACAUGAAGUUCGUUGGAACUUCUCUUCAUGUGAAGAGGGACAUCUUGGCUUGAGGAGGGUAAUUUUAAAAGCUUGAGUUCAUGCAACCUGACUGCACCAAAGACUCAUGGCAAUAUUUGUUACACCCAAUGGCCUAUCUCCCCUGCCCUUCUGGGAUAAAUCCUGGAUAAUUGGACAGCUGGUGCCUCAGUGCGUGAGCUAAUCGUAGAGGAACAGAGUAAAGGCUGGAAGAAGUGGCCAUGUGGGGCAUUUGCAGUAGAGAGAUUGAAACGAUCUAGUUCACUUGAAGAUUCAAACUAGCAAGGGUGGCUUUUCAAACAUAAGGGCCCUUGAAAUGUA